GAAGCAAACACCCUCUGAACACCACCGUGCCACCACCACCUCCUCCUAGCAUAGGAUGUCUACGGAGAACCUCAACACCUCAAUCGAAAAUGACCAGCUUAUCCUUUAUCAAGUAUCACUGAGAGGGGAUGUCCCUGCCUUUGAUGCAUUGCUUCAACAAGAUGAACUCAUUCUUGAUAGGGUCGUCGUUACUUCCUUCCAUGAAACUCCAUUACACAUUGCAGCCAUGCGAGGUCACCUUCACUUCGCUCGAGCACUCCUCAGUCGAAAGCCCAAACUAGCCGACGAGUUAGAUUCUCUUUGUCGCUUGCCUCUUCACUUGGCUUCUGCAGAGGGCUACACUGAUAUUGUCAAAGAGUUGAUAACUGCGAAUCCUGAUGCUUGCUGGGCACGUGAUCAAGAUGGAAGGAUCCCACUUCACUUGGCAGCCAUGAAAGGAAGAGUUGACAUUAUAAAGGAAUUGGUCAGCAUUUGCCCUGAGUCAAUUGGAGAGAAGCUGGAUUAUGGAGAGACAAUCUUGCACUUCUGCGUUAAAUAUAAUCGGUUGGAGGCUCUGAAAUUAUUGGCGGAAACAGUAAGAGAUGAUGAAUUUGUCAAUGCCACGGAUGACAAUGGCAACACAAUUUUGCACCUUGCUGCGAUCCUCAAACAAGUACAGAUUACAAAAUACUUGCUUUUGGAGACGACCAUCAAGGAAAACGUAACUGCCUUGAACAGGAAUGGAUUUACAGCAUUGGAUGCUUUAGAGCACUGUCCAAGGGAUUCAAAAGGCCUGGAAGUAAAGAUCAUUCUGCUUGAAGCUGAAGCAGGUGUUCAGAGGAACACAGGGCGCAGUGUUAGUGAAUUCCCAUCAUCAACAGCACAACGAAAUGGAGGCCUAGUCGCCAGAAAGUACAAAUUCUGGAAUAACUACUUCAAGAAGGUUGGCAAGCGGUUAGAAGAGGCACGAGGCAAUAUUCUUGUGGCAGCUACUGUAACAGCAUCUAUGGCUUUCCAAGCUGGGAUAAACCCACCUCCAUUUGAUGAAUACAAAAAUUUAGCUCCUGCUCCGCAACCAAGCAAUGAUAUUACUACUCCUAAGUUUGCUAGUCUUGAUGAUCUGCUAGAGCAGUCAGAAAUAUCUUUCUGGUAUUGCAACACCGUUUCUUUGAUGCUUUCCCUUAUUAUCAUUCUGCUGAUGUUUAGCGGAAUUCCGUUAGGAAAUAAGUUUUUAAGAGUUUUCCUAGUAAUUGCCAUGUGCGUCACAGUCCUAUACAUAUCAGGAGCAUAUUAUACGGCCGCGUUAAGCUUCAGAGCGAGAGAUCAUUGGUGGAGUAGGGCAGGGGUAUCCAUGAUGGUAAUUGCCAUUGUGAUUCCUCUUUUAUUUUACUCAAUUAUAUUGUUACAUUUGGCUUCCUUCUUGAUCUGGCUGGUUCGGAAGAUCUGGAAAUGUAUCUCUAAAUUAAUAUUGUGCUUCUGUUAAUCAAAUUCCUGUCAGCUUUGAAUAAUAUUAUCUCAAAAGUGCAUGUAUAAUUCGCUUGCAAUAAAUUUUUAAGUUUUCUCAAAAA
rnacentral:misc_RNA from 1 species